rnacentral:rRNA from 1 species
GAUGAACGCUAGCGGCAGGCUUAAUACAUGCAAGUCGAGGGGCAUCAAGGUACACGAAAGUGUAUUGUUGGCGACCGGCGGACGGGUGAGUAAUAGGUAGGUAACCUACCUCAUACUGAGGCAUAGCUGGGAGAAAUUCCAGGUAAUUCCUCAUGAGGUUAUAUGACACAUGUGAUAUAAUCAAAGGUAUCGCAAGGUACUGGUAUGAGAUGGGCUUACUGACCAUUAGCUAGUUGGUGAGAUAAGAGCUCACCAAGGCGAAGAUGGUUAGGGGUUUUGAGAGAGAGAUCCCCACAUUGGAACUGAGAUACGGUCCAGACUCCUACGGGAGGCAGCAGUAGGGAAUAUUGGGCAAUGGGCGGAAGCCUGACCCAGCCAUGCCGCGUGAAGGAAGACGGCCUUAUGGGUUGUAAACUUCUUUACUAUGCGACUAACUAGAUUUACGAGAUAAUUCUAUAGAAUGUAGCAUAGACAAAAAGCACCGGA